GACUUACGUAGAGGUUGCAUUGUUUAUAAGUAUUUUGCGAGAGAGUGACGUCGAUGACCGCAAUUGAAAGGAGACAAUGCCGAAGUUUGAGAAGGGUCAACUUCUCAGGUUGGGGUCAUUUCGAAGAGGAAUGAUCUUGUCAUACAGCGGUAAUGUAUGGAGCGCUACAACAGCC
rnacentral:ncRNA from 2 species